rnacentral:piRNA from 1 species
UACCUGGAAUGCCUCAGAGGAAGAUGGA